UGGGGAAUAUUGCACAAUGGGCGCAAGCCUGAUGCAGCCAUGCCGCGUGUAUGAAGAAGGCCUUCGGGUUGUAAAGUACUUUCAGCGGGGAGGAAUGGAGUAAAGUUAAUACCUUUGCUCAUUGACGUUACCCGCAGAAGAAGCACCGGCUAACUCCGUGCCAGCAGCCGCGGUAAUACGGAGGGUGCAAGCGUUAAUCGGAAUUACUGGGCGUAAAGCGCACGCAGGCGGUUUGUUAAGUCAGAUGUGAAAUCCCUGGGCUCAACCUGGGAACUGCAUCUGAUACUGGCAAGCUUGAGUCUCGUAGAGGGAGGUAGAAUUCCAGGUGUAGCGGUGAAAUGCGUAGAGAUCUGGAGGAAUACCGGUGGCGAAAGCGGCCCCCUGGACGAAGACUGACGCUCAGGUGCGAAAGCGUGGGGAGCAAACAGG
rnacentral:rRNA from 1 species